rnacentral:rRNA from 1 species
AGAGCGAACGCUGGCGGCAGGCCUAACACAUGCAAGUCGAGCGCCCCGCAAGGGGAGCGGCAGACGGGAGAGUAACACGUGGGAACGUACCCUUUGGUUCGGAACAACCCAGGGAAACUUGGGCUAAUACCGAAUAAGCCCUUACGGGGAAAGAUUUAUCGCCAAAGGAUCGGCCCGCGUCUGAUUAGCUAGUUGGUGAGGUAACGGCUCACCAAGGCGACGAUCAGUAGCUGGUCUGAGAGGAUGAUCAGCCUCACUGGGACUGAGACACGGCCCAGACUCCUACGGGAGGCAGCAGUGGGGAAUAUUGGACAAUGGGCGCAAGCCUGAUCCAGCCAUGCCGCGUGGGUGAUGAAGGCCCUAGGGUUGUAAAGCCCUUUCGGCGGGGAAGAUAAUGACGGUACCCGCAGAAGAAGCCCCGGCUACUUCGUGCCAGCAGCCGC